rnacentral:lncRNA from 1 species
AUGGUUGGCAUAAUUCCUAUUAAAGCUCUUGUUAUGGAUGAAAGCAGGACCAGCAUUUGUGUAACCGGAUUGCUUGCCUACCUGAGAGUCAACCAAAGAUGCAGGCCAUCAAAAACAGUGAGUACCGUCUUCUUAUUGGUCAGGUUUCCUGUCUUACCAGAUCAAAGAAGUGCUUAGCCAAGUCCAUUGACUCUAAAAUUAUCCCUGCUUCAGAAUUUGAAUACUGUACAUCCCUUCAGUAGCUCCUUAAAUCAUAUAAUGUGUAGAAUAGAAAAUAUGUGUGCAAAGAGCUUUGUCUGAUAUGAGUCUUAUCCCUUGAGAGGCAUGUAAUUUCUCAGGGGCCGGGGCAAAAAACAUCCUAUAGAUAGGAGAAGGGUGAAACUUUCUGUAUGUAAGGCUUCUAUGUAAAAUUGGAUCAGGCACCUCUGUUCACUCUUUUGAAAACAGCAGUGUGCAAGCCUGCUGCAGGUUGGGCCUACCACAACUAUCAAUGUUUGCUGCUACAUUUCAUGCAACUCAUCUUCCAAGGAGCAUGUAGUGUUCUAUGUUUAUGUACAUACUGUAUAUCAUUGAGUGUCUAUUAUAGGAAAUAAGGUGGAGUGUUAUAUGUAUAGCAGAGCUAUCAAGUUAAGUUUUUUUAUGUUAGGAGCGACUUAAGAAACUGCAAGUUGCUUCUGAUGUGAGAGAAUCGACUGUCUCCAAGGAUGUUGCCCAGGGGACGCCCAGAUGUUUGAUGUUUUACCAUCCUGUGGGAGGCUUCUCUCAUGUCCCCGCAUGGGGAGCUCCCUGGAUCCGAACUGCCAACCUUUCAGUCAGCAGUUCUGCCAGCACAAGGUUUUAACCCAUUGCAGCACUGGGGGCUCCAUAUCAAGUUAAGUGAUCUGUUGGGAGUGAGCAAGAAUAUUGGUGGUGGUUGGUGAUUGGCUCGGCUGUAUGAGCCUAAUUUGAAAAAGUGAGUUUGGGUCCAUUGGAGUAAGCACUGAGUUUAGACAGUGGUAGGGAGGGAGAGUGGGUUGCACUCAGAUUUUUACUCAGAUUAGUCAGGAAAGAAAGUGAUGUGAUGUGUGGUGGAUUCAGUGCAAUUCAGUAAAUUAAAUAAAUAACUGUAAUAGCUAAGCUGUUGAACAUCAAGCUUCACAACAUAAAGUAAGCUUGACCUCUGUUUGUCUUCUUUUUAAUAAAUACUUUUCAAUGCACACACACAUGCCUCUUGGGGUGCUACAAUAUUGGGUUGUUGUGAAUUUUCCGGGCUGUAUGGCCAUGUUCCAGAAGCAUUCUCUCCUUAUGUUUCGCCCACAUCUCUGGCAGGCAUCCUGAGAGGUUGCCUGCCAUAGGUGUGGCCAAAAUGUCAGAAGAGAAUGCUUCUGGAAUAUGGCCAUACAGCUUGGAAAACUCACAACAAGCCCGUGGUUCCGGCUAUGAAAGCCUUUGACAACACAUUGCUACAAUAUUGUUUUUAGGCUUGUGAAAAAAAAAUCUGAUACCAGGUAUCUGUGGUGGCAGUAGUCUUUUACUUUUGGUGGUUAACUUUCAUAACUAGUAGUGGGUUUUGGAUAAAGCAACGCACAAGAAAUUUAAUACUUUUCUGAAGAGGUUCCAGAUUCUGUCCAGCCAGAUGGGACUAAGUAGCAGGCCAUCCCUGAAGAUCUUGAAGGAACAUCCUCUGUUGUAUUGCUGAAGUCAAUUGUUAGAGAAAGAUGCAGGAAAUUAAAGGAUGAAAUCCAGGGGUAUAACUAUGAGAGAGAGGACAAAAGGAGGGAUCUCCUCAAAACAUCUAUCAGAGAGAAAUCCCCAUUGGAGAAAAAUACAAAAUGGGUGGAUUUGCACAUGUCUCCAGUGCAUCAGAUUAGGUUACAUUUUAAUCAAGCCAAACUGAGAGCCCAAGUUUAGAUUCAUUUCAAUCCAAUGUGUGAACAAGAAUCCCUUUCAGGAGGCUGAUCUAUUGCCAAGAUCAUACCUUUAUACAUCAUGCUGGAAUCACAUUGACUCAACAUGGGAACACCUAGGAUUGGUUUCAAAUUGUGGGAUUUCUUCAAAUAUACAGCACAGGACUGGGACGGUGCUUAGUGUCCAUCUGUUAUUUUUAUUCUCCCCUCAUUAUUUCAUGUAAUUGUUUUUCUGCAAGGCCAAAACAAAAUGUUCUUGGUAGGUUACUAAUCCUAAUGUACAUCUUAGGUGCUUAGACAUAACAAAUGAAGUAGCACUAUGUAUGCAUUUCUAAACACACUGUUUGUAUGAAAAAUGGACCUCUUUGUUUCACUUACUGGAGAUUUUCCACCUGAUUUAUUCACACUCCCAUUCCAGUUAAGUACGCUGGUUACAGUAAAAACACCUCUUGUUUUGGUGCACGCAAACAUAUUUGAAGUAUACACACAUACAGAUGGUUUGCUUACACUGCUCCUUUGUCGAAACCUGUAGCACUAGCCUAGGGCUACUUGUUAUGUCGGCUAUUGUGGCUGUGUUGUAAUAACACAGCAGUCACAUGACAAAAGACCUGGCUGUGCUUAAUGAUGUUCCAGCGAAGCCUAGCAUAAGCAGAAAC